CAAUAGCGUAUAUUAAAGUUGUUGCAGUUAAAAAGCUCGUAGUUGGAUUUCUGGUGGGAGCGACCGGUCGGCGCUUAACGGCGUGUGCACUGGAGUUGUCUCUUGCCAUCCUUGAGGAGAACGUGUCUGGCAUUAAGUUGUCGGGCUUGGGAUCCUCAUCGUUUACUGUGAAAAAAUUGGAGUGUUUAAAGCAGGCAUUUGCUGUGAAUACAUUAGCAUGGAAUAAUAAGAUAGGACUUUGGUGCUAUUUUGUUGGUUUGCGUACCAAGGUAAUGAUUAAUAGGGAUAGUUGGGGGUAUUCGUAUUCAAUUGUCAGAGGUGAAAUUCUUGGAUUUAUGGAAGACGAACAACUGCGAAAGCAUUUACCAAGGAUGUUUUCAUUAA
rnacentral:rRNA from 1 species